rfam:Enterobacteria phage YYZ-2008, complete genome.
UCUGAUAAUAGAUGUGUUAGAAAAUUUCUGCAUGGUGAAUCCCCCUGUGCGGAGGGGCGACUGGUGAACGGUAUGAUCUCUUUGAUGAUCGUAAGCGAGAAUACGCGGGUUUGGUGGCACCAGGCCGAACUCACCGGGAGGCACCCGGCAUCAUGCUGUAUACAGAGAUUAGGCAUAUAUCCAGGCUCCUCAUCGCAGGAGCCUUUUUACAUGC